rnacentral:lncRNA from 1 species
CUCCAAUGGGUCUGGGAACAAGUAUUAGGAGGAAAAAGUUCACUGCAAACAGAUCCAAUGUGCCCUGGAUGUGAAUCUAAUGGUGCAUAAAGGAAACUUAGAGGAAGCACAAGAGGAGCGCAAGUCUUAUGGGGAAGCAGCUGAGGGAACUGGGAUUGUUCAGUCUGAAGAAGAGGAGCCUCAGGAAACCUACAGCUUCCGGCUCUCUACAGCUGCCUGAAAGGGGGAUGUGGUGACAUGAAGGUUGGCUUCUUCUCCCAGGUAACAGAAAUAUGAUGAAAGAUAAUGACUGAAUUUUGCUAGUGGAGGUUCAGGUUAGAUAUUAGGAAAACUUUUGUUUCAGAAAGAGUGGUGAGGUAUAGGAACAGGCUGCCCAGGGAAGUGGUGGAGCCUCCAUUCUUGGAGGUGUUGAAGAAACGUGUAAUGUGGCAUUGAGGGACAUGGUCUGUGAGCAUGGUGGGGAUGGGUUGACAAUUAGAACAGACAAUCUUAAAGACCUUCUUCAACCUUAAUGAUUUUAUAAUUCUGUGAUGCAGAGUACAAUCUAAUUUUCCAUGUAUGAUAUGGGGAUAAUUAAUAACCUUAGCUGGAAAGAUGACUGGCUUGCUUCCUUCUUGCAUCCCUGUUGUGUACAUCACAAACAAGUGAUCUAGAAACAAAUACUGGAUUCCUUAAAUAUAGAGCAUGCUCUUAGCUUAAAAAGAUGCAGAAGCAUAUUUUGACCUGUUUCUAUCUCUGCGUGUCACCAUUCUUGUUUUGAUAGAAAUGUCUUUAGUGACACAGAAUAUGUUUACCCUAGAUGAGCUCAUAUACUCAUUUCCCAAAGGAAAGAAAGAAGUACAAGGGCCAGUUUGUUUUGCCUGCAGAUC